GUGGGCUAUGGAGACAUCUACCCCAAGACCCUCUUGGGUAAAAUCGUAGGGGGGUUGUGCUGCAUUGCAGGGGUCUUGGUGAUCGCCCUUCCCAUCCCCAUCAUCGUCAACAAC
rfam:Sarcophilus harrisii ctg7180001390025, whole genome shotgun sequence.